AUACUUACCUGGCAGGGGAGAUACCAUGAUCACGAAGGUGGCUCACCCAGCACUGCGGUUGUGCUAACCCCUGUGAAUUCCCCAAAUGCGGGAAUCUCAACUGCAUAAUUUGUGGUAGUGGAGGACUGCGUUCGCGCUCUCCCCUC
ensembl:snRNA U1 U1 spliceosomal RNA